GAUGAACGCUGGCGGCGUGCCUAAUACAUGCAAGUCGAGCGAACGGACGAGGAGCUUGCUUUUCUGAUGUUAGCGGCGGACGGGUGAGUAACACGUGGAUAACCUACCUAUAAGACUGGGAUAACUUCGGGAAACCGGAGCUAAUACCGGAUAAUAUUUUGAACCGCAUGGUUCAAAAGUGAAAGACGGUCUUGCUGUCACUUAUAGAUGGAUCCGCGCUGCAUUAGCUAGUUGGUAAGGUAACGGCUUACCAAGGCAACGAUGCAUAGCCGACCUGAGAGGGUGAUCGGCCACACUGGAACUGAGACACGGUCCAGACUCCUACGGGAGGCAGCAGUAGGGAAUCUUCCGCAAUGGGCGAAAGCCUGACGGAGCAACGCCGCGUGAGUGAUGAAGGUCUUCGGAUCGUAAAACUCUGUUAUUAGGGAAGAACAUAUGUGUAAGUAACUGUGCACAUCUUGACGGUACCUAAUCAGAAAGCCACGGCUAACUACGU
rnacentral:rRNA from 1 species